rnacentral:lncRNA from 1 species
CAAUUAAAAAGAACUUCUUCGUCAGGAGAACGGUAUUGGGCACGGGUACUAUGGGAAGGAUUUUGGCCCGUACAAGCACUUGCCAAUGAGUUAAUAAUGUCCUCAUUGCUCAGUAUUGCUGCCACAAGGUUCCUGACUGACUCAUUCUCACUUCUACAAGAUGGCAGCAGUGCCUUGAUGACCAGUCAAGUUUCAUUCCAUAUAUUCAAAGAUUCAUUCUAUAUAUUCAAAGAUUAAUUUCCUAAACGACAUGCCAUAAUAUAUAUACUAUAUUGCCCUUGUCACAGAUUUCAUUGAAAACACCUUUGCAACUUCAUCAGCUGUGUUUUGUAAUCUCAAUUACUGCAAUAAAACACAUAUUUAUGCGGUUUGACAAGCAGUCUUCAUUAGCAUAGCAAUAUAACACUUGUCCUGAGUAAUAAUACUACCACUUGAAUCAAUAUAAAAAGACUGUUGCAAUUACAAACAGCCAACAGAUUUAAAUGAAAUAAGAAAUGACAAUAUAUAUGUAAUAUUUUAAUGCAGGAUAACUAAAAUGAUGCAACAUACUUAGAAAGACCAUGGACAUGCUGUAAAACAAUUAAUUAAUUCCUCACAGGAUUGACGGUGGAAAUACAGGUGAAUCACUAGGAUUAAUCUUAGCCUGGCUGUUAGUCUGGUCUGCAGCAGGCUAGCUGCAGAGAAUAAAUCACCAUAGUAACUUGGCCGGGAUAAGUUUAACCUGCUUUCAUGCAACCGACUUGAGGCUAAAUUAAGCCAGGAUAGCCAACAUAUCCCGGCUUAAUCCCUUAUCUUGGUUUUGUGCAAUACCCCUCAGGUGAGGAGACAAUAACAACAACAACAACAACAACAACAACAACAACAACAACAGAACUAACAACAACUGAAAACAGCAUAGAACCAGGAACCAAAACGACAGUGUCUUCAAUCAAUGAUACUUCAACACAACUAAAAGGUGAGGACACAAUAACAACAACAACUGAAAACAGCAUACUAACGGGUACCCACACGACAGCGUCUACAAUCAAUGAUACUUCAACAGAAUUAAAAGGUGAGGAGACAAUAACAACAACAACAACAACAACAACAACAACAACAGAACUAACAACAACUGAAAACAGCAUAAAAUCAGGAACCAAAACGACAGUGUCUUCAAUCAAUGAUACUUCAACACAACUAAAAGGUAGUGACCCAACAUUCUCUCUCUCUCUCUCUCUCUCUCUCUCUCUCUCUCUCUCUCUCUCUCUCUCUCUCUCUUUGUUAAGAUGUAAAAACAUCACAGUCUCUCAGUUUCACCUCAGUGAAUUUUCCGACUUCUCAUUUAUUUAUACAUCAAACUACAAAUUACUGAAGUGUGAAUUGAAUUAUGGUGGAUUUAAAGCUUUAAUAUUACAUCACAAGACAAGUUUUGUACUGAACAGUUUGUUGAGUUGUGUUCAUCUGUUCAGGUGAGGACACAAUAACAACAACAACUGAAAACAGCAUACUAACGGGUACCCACACGACAGCGUCUACAAUCAAUGAUACUUCAACAGAAUUAAAAGGUAUUAACUCAAUUGCAAAACAUCUCAAUGUAACACAGACCAUUUGUGGUACAGUGAGAACAUGGCUUCCUGCCGUCUGGUGCUGUAUUUUUGGACCCAGCAGCCUACAUAAAUAUCUUAGUCCAUCACCUGAGAAUCUGUAUCUCUCAAUGAGAUAGUCAUCUCCAACAGCCAAUGGGUCUGACCUGUCCCGGAAGACUCUUUCAUGACUAAAUGCUCGUCUGAGGAUUAGGGCUUCCUCAUCCAGUACAUCCUUCAAGAAAGGGCAAGCCAUUAUGAAGAGGGAACAGGUGUGAAUAAUAUAUAUAUAUAUUUAUAUAUAUAUAUAUAUAUUAUGGCGUGCCGUUUAGGAAAUUAAUCUUUGUAUAUAUGGAAUGAAGCUUUGAAUAUAUGGAAUGAAGCUUGG